rnacentral:rRNA from 1 species
AGGUACUCCGGGGAUAACAGGCUGAUACCGCCCAAGAGUUCAUAUCGACGGCGGUGUUUGGCACCUCGAUGUCGGCUCAUCACAUCCUGGGGCUGAAGUAGGUCCCAAGGGUAUGGCUGUUCGCCAUUUAAAGUGGUACGCGAGCUGGGUUUAGAACGUCGUGAGACAGUUCGGUCCCUAUCUGCCGUGGGCGCUGGAGAACUGAGGGGGGCUGCUCCUAGUACGAGAGGACCGGAGUGGACGCAUCACUGGUGUUCGGGUUGUCAUGCCAAUGGCACUGCCCGGUAGCUAAAUGCGGAAGAGAUAAGUGCUGAAAGCAUCUAAGCACGAAACUUGCCCCGAGAUGAGUUCUCCCUGACUCCUUGAGAGUCCUGAAGGAACGUUGAAGACGACGACGUUGAUAGGCCGGGUGUGUAAGCGCAGCGAUGCGUUGAGCUAACCGGUACUAAUGAACCGUGAGGCUUAACCUUACAACGCCGAAG